CACCUUUUAACCUGCAUGGAAGACCAGCUCUAAGAAAUCCUUGAAUCCCAGUCCCUGUGUAGAACUGGCCAGGAAACUGUUCCCAGAGGAGUUAUUCUUUCACUCUCAAAAUGGGUGGAAGCCCAGUUGAAUCUCUUCAGAUUCGAGUGCUAUUCAAUAUUUCUUUUAAUGGCACAAGUGAAGAAAUAGAGUAUAUAAAGCAAAAGCAAGAGUCAUAAAAGCCCACAACUGUCCAUGUACUUGUUGGAUGUAUGGAGAAGUACAUAUUGACAUGAGGCUUUUCUCUGUGUAGAAGACUUUACUUUGUACAUAGCUUCUUUCUACUUGGCUUCACAUGACUUAGCAUCUCUCAGCAGCAGCUCUACUGCAGUACCUCUUUCACUGGAAUGCAGUAGGCAGUCUUCUGCUGUGUGAGGAGCUGCAGACACACCAAGCUGGCAUUCAAGUGCUGCUGAGUGACAGCCAGGGACCAGCUAACAGCUGAUGUGCAAGUUGUGAGAGCUGGAUCAAGAGCAGAAGGCUUCAAUGCAGCACUGGUGGUGGCAGCAGUACGUGGCUCUUUACAGUUGCCUGUUUGAGAAGCAGCACAGCUUCAGUAAAUCCUUAGCAAACUUAGUUUUAUCCUCCUGCAUUUUAAUGAAGUCAUAGAAGAGACUCUUUGCUAAACAAAGAACCAAGACGUCCCUCAGGUAGUAACAGCAUGACAGUACUGAGACAUCCCUAAUGCAAAUCAUGCAAUCUGCUGUCUCCACAAUCCCUGAAGCAUCCAGAGGUAGACAUGCUGGCAUUCAUAAACCUCAGAUGUAGGAGUACCAGGCUUUUAUCAGAACAGAAAUAAUUCUGUUGCCCUGAAGCUGAACCCAUUAUCUGUGCUGGUUCAAGACAGCAUCUCUACUUAAAGGCAGCACCAGGUAAAAAUACCAUGGAUGCUGUCAAGGCAGAAGCAAUAAUUCACCUUCCCUUUUGGACUGGAGUGAGGUUUGUCAUCUUGGGCUGUGAUCUAAGAAGUAGCUGCCAUUACUGCUGCAAAGUACAAGAGAUAUUAGCUUUUUCUGGAGCAGAAUCUAGUUUUUACUGAUUCCCAUCCUUCUGCACUGAAAGGAGGGGGUUAGCCAGCCUUGCAUUAGCUGGUGCUCGCCAGCUGUCUUGUUUACUGCUUGAUAUACAUCAGCAAGGGUGGGACCAUUGCUUCCAAGAGGUUUGCAUACUGCUCUUCAGGACAGAGAAGCAGC